rnacentral:lncRNA from 1 species
GACAGAACGGAAGGAAUUCCAAGAGACCAAUCAGUAGAAGGACCUUAUUAAUGCACACCUACGUCGCUUCACGAAAACGGCCAGCAGAGGGCGCGCGUGGCCUUUGACUAACGGUUGAUUCCUAGCCCAGGGUCACAAACGAAAUGAUCCAGGGAGGUGAUUUACAUUCCUAGCACAGUUCAUAGAGAAAACCAAAGGCCAAGCUACAUGGAAUGAAAAUCUCCGAUUUGGGCUUAUCUCAACGUCACAUGUAACAUACAGACAGCACCAACGCAGAUGCUGGUCCUUCCUUUACCAGACUCCCGUGGACCUGCAACGGUCGUUGUCGCUUUGGAGGAAUCGUCUUCAAGCUAAGCACACCCCUAAGAUCUCUCAGUACAGCCCUGGAAACAGUUUUGAGAAGGUGGCAUGGGUUCAGCUGACUGCACACCAGGUCUCAAAAUGAUGAAACAGCCAUGACCCAAGGGCCUGCCUGUGUUUGGUGAGCUCUGUCCCUGGAGAGUCUCUGCCUAGCAGGAGAAGGGGCCAGGAGUCUCCGGAACCUUAAAGAAAACCAUCAGCCCAGAAGACAAGCAUUUUCUGUGACUUGUGAGUACUGGAGGUGAGGAAGACUUGAGCCACAGACCAAAAGAAAGGUCCCCUGCUUCAGUCAUCAUCUUCCUAGCUGAAGAGAAGAGCCUUGCCCCUGGGACCCAAGAGAGAGCCUUGAGGGGACCACCAGGUGACUCUUUUCCUUACAGCCAUGCUCACUCUUGCCUCCUUUACCCCAGGUGCUUUUUCUGCCUCAAGUUGUGAACACAGCAAGGGCAGGCUGAUGCCUUGGGUCGGCUAGAAUGCGAUAUUGCAGCCAUGAAGGCGAUCCUAGAGAACCAGCUUUCCUUGGUGGGCACACAGCCUCAGUAGGAAGCCUCACCACCUCAUUAAGCACUAUGCUGCAGGCUUAGCAGAUCCUUAGUGCCCAAUGUGUUCCUGGACCUGCACCCUGAGGCCCAGGACCCUGUGGUCACUGGCCACUUGUACACAUGAGGCUGCAAACCUGGGUGCUUUUUAGGCCCUCUCCUGGUGUGGGUUGGUGGGCACAUAAGUCCCAUUCAGAGGUCUGGUGUUGUGUUACUGCCAGGAAGGCAGUCUCCACAGCAGUGGUUAGAAGGGUCCCUGCAUACCACGUGUGACUGUGUUGAGAUUCCUUGCUCAUAGCUAUAAUGUCAUCACUCCUCCUCCUCCUGCUCCUGAUUUGUGGUUGGCAUCCUUGCUGCCCUCCCUUGGCUUGGCCUGCCUAUUGGAAAGGCAAGAAGGACAAAGGCUCCUUGACUGCCCCCUCUCCUCCUGUUUGUCUUGACAGCAUUUGGCUGGCUGACCUCCCACGGAAAGCUGACUUCCUGUGGGAAACACAUCAGUGUCACUCCUUCACCUCACCCUGGCAGGCCCUCUCUUCUCUUGGGUCUGGAGAGGGAGUGCUUGCAUAUCGAAGGGACCAUGGAGCCCACUCUGUGGCCAAGAAGCAUCCCUGAGUCCUUUCCACCAUACAGCCCAGAACCAGCUCCUCUCUCCUGUCCUGGUGGACACCAGGCACAGAGGAAACUGAGCCCCAGGGGACACUAUGGAGUUGUUUGUGCCCAAGGCAGGAUGACCAAAGGUCACUGCAGCCAAGAUUUCAGGGUCAGCCACCAAUGGCCCUUUUUGUCCUGCCACUGUGAAUGCAUGAUCCUCAAGCCCAAAUUCCCCUCCCAUCUGGUCCUUAAAAUAAAUGGUGAGCAAUUCCCCACCUGGGAGGUACUGGGAACUUGCUAAGAGAUCAGCCCUCACUGCUCCUGGGCCGGGUCACCUCUCACUGCCUUCUGGGGCUGAGGUGCUGAGGAAGCAAGUGUCUCUGCUUUGUCUAGGUCGUAGUCUCUGG